rnacentral:lncRNA from 1 species
GAUUUGGGGUUAAAAAAAAACUAGUUAUUCCAAUAAUAGGAGUAAGUUCAGGAUUAAGGUGAGGUUAGAGUAUUUUUUAUGUUUGGUUNUAAGCUACUGUUUGAUUUGGGGUUAAAAAAAAACUAGUUAUUCCAAUAAUAGGAGUAAGUUCAGGAUUAAGGUGAGGUUAGAGUAUUUUUUAUGUUUGGUUGGGAGUUGGAGUUAGUCCAGGAUUUAAAAAAAAUAGUGUUUGGCUGGAGUAAAUGAGAUAAGAAGGAUAGUGGGUAAAAUAGUAUUUUGUUUAGUUGGAGUAGUGGGGUGGGGUGGGGUGGGGUGGGGUUAGCUAAUCCCAUCCAAAUGGGCUAUUCCGGAAUAGCCCAUUUAGGACAGAGUUAGCUAGGGUUAGCUAACCCCACCCCUCAAAUUGGAUGUUUGGGAAUAACUUCGGGGUUAAGGGGUUAUUUCACUCCUUAACUCCGAACCAAAC